UAAGGGCGCACGGUGGAUGCCUUGGCACUAGAAGCCGAUGAAGGACGUUACUAACGACGAUAUGCUUUGGGGAGCUGUAAGUAAGCUUUGAUCCAGAGAUUUCCGAAUGGGGAAACCCAGCAUGAGUUAUGUCAUGUUAUCGAUAUGUGAAUACAUAGCAUAUCAGAAGGCACACCCGGAGAACUGAAACAUCUUAGUACCCGGAGGAAGAGAAAGAAAAUUCGAUUCCCUUAGUAGCGGCGAGCGAAACGGGAAGAGCCCAAACCAACAAGCUUGCUUGUUGGGGUUGUAGGACACUCUAUACGGAGUUACAAAGGACGACAUUAGACGAAUCAUCUGGAAAGAUGAAUCAAAGAAGGUAAUAAUCCUGUAGUCGAAAAUGUUGUCUCUCUUGAGUGGAUCCUGAGUACGACGGAGCACGUGAAAUUCCGUCGGAAUCUGGGAGGACCAUCUCCUAAGGCUAAAUACUCUCUAGUGACCGAUAGUGAACCAGUACCGUGAGGGAAAGGUGAAAAGCACCCCGGAAGGGGAGUGAAAUAGAACCUGAAACCGUGUGCUUACAAGUAGUCAGAGCCCGUUAAUGGGUGAUGGCGUGCCUUUUGUAGAAUGAACCGGCGAGUUACGAUUUGAUGCAAGGUUAAGCAGUAAAUGUGGAGCCGUAGCGAAAGCGAGUCUGAAUAGGGCGUUUAGUAUUUGGUCGUAGACCCGAAACCAGGUGAUCUACCCUUGGUCAGGUUGAAGUUCAGGUAACACUGAAUGGAGGACCGAACCGACUUACGUUGAAAAGUGAGCGGAUGAACUGAGGGUAGCGGAGAAAUUCCAAUCGAACCUGGAGAUAGCUGGUUCUCUCCGAAAUAGCUUUAGGGCUAGCCUCAAGUGAUGAUUAUUGGAGGUAGAGCACUGUUUGGACGAGGGGCCCCUCUCGGGUUACCGAAUUCAGACAAACUCCGAAUGCCAAUUAAUUUAACUUGGGAGUCAGAACAUGGGUGAUAAGGUCCGUGUUCGAAAGGGAAACAGCCCAGACCACCAGCUAAGGUCCCAAAAUAUAUGUUAAGUGGAAAAGGAUGUGGCGUUGCCCAGACAACUAGGAUGUUGGCUUAGAAGCAGCCAUCAUUUAAAGAGUGCGUAAUAGCUCACUAGUCGAGUGACACUGCGCCGAAAAUGUACCGGGGCUAAACAUAUUACCGA
rnacentral:rRNA from 1 species